UACGUAGGGUGCGAGCGUUAAUCGGAAUUACUGGGCGUAAAGGGUGCGCAGGCGGCGUCGCAAGUCAGGCGUGAAAUCCCCGGGCUCAACCUGGGAACUGCAUUUGUGACUGCAUAGCUGGAGUGCGGCAGAGGGGGAUGGAAUUCCGCGUGUAGCAGUGAAAUGCGUAGAUAUGCGGAGGAACACCGAUGGCGAAGGCAAUCCCCUGGGCCUGCACUGACGCUCAUGCACGAAAGCGUGGGGAGCAAACAGG
rnacentral:rRNA from 1 species